rnacentral:misc_RNA from 1 species
GUAUUUUUGCGAAGUAGCUUCACAUUUUGGAAUAAUAUUUUCACUCAGGUUCCAAAUAUAUUCUCGUCCUCUCAGCUGAUCCUGUUUACAAUAACGUUCCGAGGAGGGAAGUCCUGCAAGAGGUCAAGUAGAGGUGAGAGAUGAGAUAGCAAACACCUGGAAAGGAAACAGCAAGAAUGAAGAUCACAGUAUGGAGUGUCUUGAGUGGCAAGGCCUCAGGCCACAUCAUCAUAAAUGUACCUGAAACUCUCACAAUUGGUGAUGUCCUGGAUAAGUUUUUAACUUUUAAGGGUGCUCAAAAAUACCCAGGUUAUGUAAUGCGCAGCAGUGACAACCUUGUGCUUGAUCCACACAAGACAUUAAAACAAUCAAGCCUUCAGGAUGGGGAAACUCUCACACUUGGCCUCUCAGACUUUUCUGCAGCACAGAAGGCCUCUACUUUCAGCUGGAGUGAUUGCCAGAUGUGCAAUGUAAGACAACUGAUAAAAAGGAGUCGUAUAUAUAGGGUUGUCAAGAAUGAUGAAGAGCAGACAUUCUCUUUUGGGAGCUGGUGGACUGUGACAAUUAUGUCACUCUUAAUUGGCAUUGUGGGCCUUGCAGUGAUUCUGUGGAUGUUCUUUGAGCCUGUCACUGCUCCUGAGAAGUUUGGUGUGGUAAUGGAUGCAGGAUCAUCGCACAGUGAAAUCUUCGUCUUCUCGUGGAGUGGUGACAAACCCCUUGGAACUGCUGACAUCAAGCUCAGGCAUAGGUGUUUUGUUGCAGGUGGUGUAAACAGCUUUGCGACGCAUGCAGAUGAUCUGGGUAGAUAUUUAGGAAAAUGUCUCAAAGUAGCUGAAACUCAAGUGCCAAGCCAUUUGCGAAAAGAAACCCCCAUCUACGUCGGGGCUACAGCUGGUAUGAGAAUCCUCAGGGACUUUGAUCCAGAAGGUGCUGUUGCCGUUCUAACAACACUAAGGGACUUCUUAGAGACAAACUCAACAUUUAAAGUACAACACAGAAACAUUGGAAUUAUACCAGGUUAUGAAGAAGGCACUAGUGGCUGGAUAGCAGUUAACUAUCUCAUUGGUACCCUGAAACAGGAAGAAACCUCUACGAAAGCUGCACUUGAUGUAGGUGGAGCUUCAGCUCAGAUAACUUCAGCUCUUAAGGAAAGUGGUAAUUGGACGACUAGGAACCUUACUCUUUUUAAUCAGACCCACAAUAUCCAAAGUCAGUCUUUCCUCUGCUAUGGGAUUGGACAAGCCCAGCACAGGCACAAUUUCCUCCUGGUGACUGAAGGGAAGGCUAUUGCAGGGGAUUCCUCCAAUCCAGAUAUUCCGGUGGACCCUUGCCUGCCAGUGGGAACAAGUCAUGAAAUAUCCGAAUUAGACUUAAAUGGUCCAUGCACACUCACUGGGGAUCAGAAACCCGAGUUGGCUUCGAUGACAAUAAUGAGCCAGAACAAAAUGAAGAAGAUUUUCAAAAAUUACUUAGGAAAAGGAGAGGAUGAGGAUUUUCCCACACUGCAAGAAAAAACAGUCAGCCCAGCAUCAGAAAUUCCAGGAAGUGACAAGAAGGUAGUAGUAGCACCACCUCAGGUCAUCAAGGGGUCCAGUGAUGCCAAGGAGUGUGAUCGGAAAAUUGGGCAGCUGUUCGAUCUGCAGUUCUGCAAGAAGACGUUCAGAUACGGUGACUGCAUGAAUGCACAGCUGGUACCUGCUGUGACAGGAGACUUGAUUGCAUUUUCUGGCCUCUUUUACCACCUGAUGCUGCUGUUACAAAUAGAACCAAACACCAGCUUGGAUGACUACAAGGUGGCUGUUGAUCGAGUGUGCUCACUGAAGUCGGAAGCCUUAUAUGCUGCCUAUCCGGGUGUGGACAAAGAUAUUGUGGAAGACUUGUGCUUCGAUGGCAUGUAUGUGUACAAACUCCUGACAGUUGGCCUGGGUAUCAACAAUUCAUCCUGGAGUAACAUAGACUUUACUCGUCAGGUGAAUGGCAUGGAUAUUGAGUGGCCUUUGGGCUUCAUGCUGAACCGGACCACCGGUUUCCCUCCUGCUUAUGCUGACCGUCCUCUGACUAUUUCAACAUUAUCAUUGUUGAUCAUACUCUUCUCAGCAUUCCUCUUCAGCGGCAUACUUUUCCUACGUCACUCCAUCAAAAUCAGGAGGCAUAGCGCCUCUUAUCAAAGGUGUGACUUUCACCAAGCAUAGAUGCAUUUGCAGUAUUUCUCAUGCCAUGCAACUAGCUGAUUAUUCUACUCUUUGCUGUAUGUAGCAGUUGGGGCCCAUUUCAAUGUAUUCACAACUUACAUAUAAUUGAACUUCAAAAUCAGUGAAAAUCCCUUGUAAUCAAAUUGUGACAAGUUCACGUCAAGAUAAUUACGUUAAGACCAAUCUGCACAACAUCAUUGUGAAUAUACAUUAUGCCUUAUAGUCUGAAGUUAAAAGGGAUUUAUCUUGUAGAGAGCUGCCAGUACAUCAACUUAGUAAAAGGAUGAUGAGAGAAAUUUGAUCGAAAAAGUAGUUCAUGCAAACAAGUACCUUAAAGUUUUAGGGGUUGUGAAUUUUGGUCAAGUGAUAGAACCUGUGAUAUAUAUAUAUAUAUAUGUAUCUAUAAAAUAUAUUGAAUUAUUUAUUGUCUUCUCUCUGUCAUCAAAGCUAAAGCAGUCCAGUGGAAAUGUGUAAUCUGCACACUAAUGCUUGCUAAUAUGCUAUUGCAUUUAUGUACAGUAUUUUCAAAGAUUGUACCUGAAUUCCAUCAACUUAUGUCAUCUCUGGAAGUGGUACUACUUAAGUGAUCAAUACAGUUGUGAAUCUCAUAUUAUAUAA